CUCUUGAUUACCUUGUGUUGUCAAUGAUUACUCUUGAUUACCUUGUGUUGUCAAUGAUUACUCUUGAUUACCUCGGCGAGGUCAAUGAUUACUCUUGAUUACCUUGUGUUGUCAAUGAUUACUCUCGAUACAUCGACGUUCUCAAUGAUUACUCUUGAUUACCUCGACGAGGUCAAUGAUUACUCCUGAUUACCUUGUGUUCUCAAUGAUUACCCUUGAUUACCUUGUGUUCUCAAUGAUUACUCUUGAUUACCUCGAUGAGGUCAAUGAUUACUCUUGAUUACCUCGAUGAGGUCAAUGAUUACUCUUGAUUACCUUGUGUUGUCAAUGAUUACUCUCGAUACAUCGACGUUCUCAAUGAUUACCCUUGAUUACCUCCAUUUCGUCCGGCUGACUGUGGUAUUUCUGCUGACUUUGGCUGCUGCCUACAAAAAAAAAUCUUGUUGCUUUUUGAUUAUAAAAUUCGGAUUUCUUUACAAUAAAUGUUGACGUU